AAAUGACAGUAUUAGUCACCAUUCAUUUUCAUUAUAUGGAAAAAGCUAUGAAACUGAAUGGUGACUGAGGCUGUCGGUUCCUAACAUUCUCCUUUGCGUUUCACGGGAGAAAGAAAAUCAUACAAGUUUGAAAGAACACGAAGAUGGCUCUAAACAGGGGUGCGUUUCCCGUACAACGACGUAACUCGCUGCUUCACUAGUACGAUGCAUCGUUCAACAAAUCAACUAGUCACGACGCAAACCUGUCAUUCAGCUACGUUGGUGAAUGUCAAGCAGGUGGUGGAGUAAUAACUAGGGUUGCAAAGGGGCGGAAACUUUCCACGGGAACUUAACCUGGGGAAUUUUGGAAAUAUUCCAAUUUGGAAACUUAACAGGAAUUUAUGGGAAUUUAUGGGAAUUAAUUGGAAAUUUUGGGAAAUUUAUACAAUUUAUAAUAUUUAUAUAAAAUGUAUCAUAUUAAAAACAAAUAUAAACAUUUUGUUUGGUCAUAACAUGAAAUAAGUUAUUUAUUUUUCGCAUUCAAUUGAUUCUAAUUUAGUAAAUAUGUAAAAUAAAUAUUGCAGCAAUUGUUAUGUGUUAUUUAUUUCAGUGUCACAUGAUCCUUCAGAAAUCAUUCUAAUAUGCUGAUUUGAUACUCAGUUAUUAUCAUUGUUGGAAACAGUUGUGCUGCUGAAUAUUUUUUUGGAACCUGUAAUACUAUUUUCAGGGAUCACUGAUUAAUAAAAAGUUAAAAAGAACAGAAUUUAUUCAAAAUAGAAAUCUUUUCUAACAAUAUCACUUUAAUAUCAAUUUCUUUAUUAUCAAUUUCACACAUCCUUGCUGAAUAAAAAAAUAAAGAAAAAAAAACAAAAACUGACCCCCAAAUUUUGAACGGUAGUGUAUAUUGUUACAAAAGAUUUCUAUUUUAAUGCUGUUCUUUACAUUUUUAUUCAUCAAAAAAACCUGAAAAAAGUAUCACAGGUUAUAAAAAAUAUUAAGCAGCACAACGGUUUCCAACAUUGAUAAUUGAGUAUCAAAUUAGCAUGUUAAAAUGAUUUCUGAAGGAUCAUGUGACACUGAAGACUGGAGAAAUGAUGCUGAAAAUUCAGCUUUGCAUCACAGAAAUAAAUUAUAUUUUUAUGUAUAUCAAAAUAGAAAACCAUUAUUUUAAUUGUAGCUAUGUUUCACAAUAUUACUGUUUUUUUUUUCUGUUUUUUUGAUCAAAUGUGCAUGUUAUGGACUGGUGGAAUGCACAGUGCAUGCAGGGGGUGUGGCCUCAAUAGCCCUGCAGUAAGUAGUGUGCUGUGUGAAUGUGACUGAGGAAUGUGCAGGGUAAAAAUUCAAUUAAAAUUGCAAUAAAUAUGGUAGUUUUAACCAAAAUUAUGCUGCAAGAUGUUUUUUUUCCAACUACAUUUAAGUACCCUGUUAUAGGCUAACCUGCAAUUUUGCAAAUUCCCUGUUUAUUCCCAUUAAUUCCCGUUAAUUCCCAUGGAAAGUUUCCAGCUUUGAAAAUUCCCGGAAUUUUGCAACCUUAGUAAUAACUUAUUUAAAUGAAUCCGUUUGAGAUCGAAUUAAUGCUAGAUUUUUAUUUAUUUAUUUAUUUAUUGCUACAAAUUACGGAUAUGGCAUCCGAGGACUAAUUCUAAUUUUGCUUUAUUUCCAGAUUCAAUCAUAGGCUUGUUCUUACAUAUUAGAGCACGUACGCACAUGCGCCCUCUUCAAAAACGGCGCUCUAUCUCUUGACAAACUAAAAUAUGUAAAUGACAUUUGUAUAUAUUCGAAAUAAAAGAUAUAGAUUGUACUUAACGACAGCUUGCUUAUUUUGCUCAAGAUAACGAAUUAUGUCCACAUGUCAUAAAAACAAGAAACUAUGCUUCUAACCACAGCUCGAGAGCUGUCGUUCCAACCACACAAGUUUACGAUGCAGUUUGCGAAUGUUCGUUUGAACUAUGAUUUCGGGAAACACCAAAAUAUUGAACUAUGUAGGUAACAACGCAACUUGCGAUGUUAUUUGGCUAACGAUGCUUUUGGUAAACGCACCUCAGGCCAGUAAGAGACUAUUAACUACUAUUACUCCUUUUAAUUAUACAAAUUUUUAAAACGUCUACAAAUAUAUGUAUAAAACUGAUCAGAGAUCAGGAAAAACCACAGACUUGUAUAAUGGUUCGCCGCUAGGGGGCGAUCUCAGUCAAUUCGCAUGAUUCAUGCGUUCAGAGACCCAGAGUUUGAUACAACUUUGAUUAUAUGCGGGGUUUUUUUUUUUUUUUUUUUUUUUUUUAAAUAAACAAAACAAAAAGGGAAUUAUUUAAUAUGGGACAGAUAAUACAAUCGAGUAAUAUAAGGUUUGUCUAUAUUAUUAAUGAAUAUUAGUUGGUUAUUUAAAAUGAUUUGAAAUGAAAUCAAUAUUCAGGGAUUCUGAUCGGUAGUGUAGAACCUACUGUAUUGUUCAUGCCUAUCCGAGUAUACAAAUAAUAUAUAAAAUAUUUUUUUUUAAAUCAUACCCUCGUUCGGGGGGUAUGAUCUAAAAUCCUAGAAUCAACCCCUGCUUGCAGUUUAGACAUAUUCGGUGAUUUAGUUUUAUUGCAUUACUCAUUGUGUAAAUGGGGUGAGACUUGUGAGAUGCACAGUACUGAUGUCUCAGUGUUAUUGUACAGCUCUAACAAGAUUGUGACAUUUCACUUAGCUAGGUUUAAAAAUAUAUCCAAGUCUGCAAGUAACAAGUUUCUCAACAAGCUACUCCUACGACCGUUACAUUUUUGCAUAUGCAAUCUCAGUAAUUAUAACUGGAGCCUGACAAAUACCUCAACCAACCACAAAUUUCCUCCCUUUCGCUUCACCAUAUUUUUUGCGAGCCAUAUGCUUUACUGUGGAAAGGCAAAAUCUUCAAACUGGUCCAAAACACUCAAAUAUUAUGACGGAAUGGCAUAAUAUCCAUUAAGGGACAUUUAGUAAACAAACCAACCUACUGGUUUCUCAACACAUUUGACUUUUUAGUGGUUACAGUCUUGGUUGCCAUUUUUACAGCUCUGCGAUUUGAAAUAUUGCCCUUUGUGAGGACAGUUUUUGCACUCAAGACCAACACAUCAAAGGGGCAGAUAACAGUAAUAUAACAGUAGAGGAUAACAGUAGUUAUUAACCAAAUGUAUUUAUUUCUGCAACAACACGUUCUUGUCCUCCCCAUUAGCGCGCACACAAACACACACACACACACACACUCAUCCUUGCAAACUCCAUUUAAAUACAUGACGUGAGAGCCAGCAUUACCUCACUGUUUGCUGCACAUGCUUUAAUAAAAUGAUACACAUAUUUACAGAAUCCACAAUUUUUGAAUUUCGCCUCAUCCCCUCCCCAGCAAAGACAAAAUAUUCUUCCAAACUCAUAGUUCCCCUCUCCAGAAGAAAAACAAAAUAUAACACUUAAGGGUGGAUUUGAAAAUUACCCACGAUUAAAAAUAAAUUCAGCAGAGACACAAAAAAAAGAGGGGAAAAAGAGAUGGAAACAAAAAGAAAGAGCAAUGGAUCUUUUGGCCAGUACAACACAGCAGUGCGUGGAGUUUAAUAACAGCGCAGAUAUGGCAGUAACACUGAAAUAGCUCAUAUAGUCUAUGUACAAGGUCACGAUAAUGGCGGUCGAGCCUCCCGUGUCCGAUUCGCUCACAGAUGCGAGCACGCCUCGUCGUACGAACUGUGAGGAAAUGGAGGUGAAAGAUGCCUUGGCUUCUGAAAACCCCCUACAAGCAGAUAAUGUGGAAAGGGCAGAGCAGAACAUGUUUUAUCUUUGCGGUUUCUCCCUCUGGUUUUCAUACCUGUAGCUUUCUACAUCUCUUGACUAUUCUGUAGUAGACUUAAACGGAAAUAAGGCACAAUAACUACGCUGACUGUUUCAUUAACAGGGGGAAAGUUCUGUUGACCGAUGAGCAGACGAGCUGAUCCAAUUGAACUACCCUACUGAUCUUCCCUUUUCAUCCCAACCAGCCAUUCAGAUUUAUACAAUUCAAAUAAAACAACAGUUUUAUGGCGAGAAUGCGAACGAUACCCAACCCCUCACAAACAUUCCCCAUCCCUAAUGUUUUACAAUCACAUUGUGACAAAAAUCGCUACACACUAGUGGUGCACACAAUACAAAAAUUGCUAAGAGCACCCGCCCACCCCAGACCCUCCCAACCUUUGGAUUGAUUGGCUGAUGGCAGACAAUCUGGCUUUUGGAUUGUUUACUACUUCCAUUCGACAUUUACUUUGAUUUAAAACAACAACGUUUCCACAGUCAACGAAUAAGCAUGAGAUUUUAAUGCUCCAGAAGUGUUUGAGACGCGUGUUGUGGUACAAUAACUACACGUACAACAAAACAAAUGGAAGCAAAAAAUUAAAAGAGACCCCAGUUUUUAACCUGUUGUGUACUGAACUCCAGGCAUCUGCCCUGCUCUAUGUACGUGACCUUUGAGGUCAUGAAUGAAGUCCCCAAAGAAAAUGAAUGUGUAUUGAGUGUUUUCUCCUUCCUCCUUUUUAUUCAUCUCUUCACAUUGUCAGUCCAAGCCUGAAUGCACAAAUGUGCAGGAUGCUAUAAAAGCCUCAGGCCGUUUCACUUUCCAUUGGACUGUAGUGUAAAUGACGGAGGAUUUGGGGUUUAUACUGCAUGACUGAUGAUUUAGGUAUACAGUAGUGUUUGAUGGUAUUUAUGCUUUAAAUUGAGUGUUUAGGUGUGACAGGAAGAUGGAGGGGCAAGGACAAAGGAGCUGGAUUAAGGAGAAGUAUCAAGAGCAGACAAGAAGAGUACAGGAAACUCUGACAGGCUAUUGGUCUGUUUUGGUAAAAGAACAGUCAGGACAGCAGGGGCUUUUAGACAGACGCGUUUAUCUCCGCUGUGAUGGAGCAGUAGGGGGACACCGUACGACUGAGGUAAAGGGCAGAUUCUGAGGGGUUUUUCUUGCUGGGGUUUAACAAUUCUGGAUGGUGGCCUUCUCAGUCCUGGGCUUCAGCUGCUGUAAUAAUUCAGCAGAUCAUUCAUGUUUUUGAUGAUCCUUCAUGUCCUCCUCAUCUGUGUAUUCAGACGGCUCGUC